rnacentral:ncRNA from 2 species
AUAUAAAUUGGACACUAUGAUAAGUUUUCUGUAUUUGGGUACCUGGAUAACUUUGAGUGAUUGGUACAACCGACCAGCAUAAAA